UUAGAAACUCGAUCAUUUCCUGAGGCGCGCGACGUAAACAGAAUGCACGCGGCGGGAAUCUGGAUGUGUUUUUCCUGAAGCGUUUCCUCCGGUUUUCCAGGCUAAAUAUGAUCCCUGUUGCUGCUUCGGCCCGGGCUCGGAAGAAGAACCAGACGGUGUUCGGCCUCAUGGGAAAGUGCGUCGUAUUCGGGUGUCCGAACCGCAUGGGGAACUUUACCCGGGGCGUGUUGAGCCGAGCACCGAAAAGGUUCUUCAGGUUCCCCACAGCUCCGGACCGAGUCAAGGUCUGGCUGGCAGCGCUGAGGGAAACCGACAAGGACACGUUGGAGCAGCAUUUCAUCUGCGAAGACCACUUCCUGCCAGAAGACAUCUUCAAAAAUGGGAUCAGCAGCGACGCCAUUCCCAUCAUGCCGCCGUAUCUGGAUGGGCAGCGGCGCCUGAUCAGUCCUUGGAGCGGUGAUUCGUUGCAGGAAGAAGAGCAGUGGUCGAACGGAGGCUGGGAUAAUGAAGAGGAGGAAGAUGAAGAGGAGGCUCCUCGUGCAGCACCGGAACCACCUGAGCAGAAUCCAGACAGAGGUCCUGAGAAGCCACCAGAACCUAAUCUGAAGAGAGAUUUCUGCCCUGAAAAUGAAGCAACCAGCUGGUUCAUCAGAGAAGGUACUCCUCUGUCCCGGCUCACACGGGGCUUCCUGGAGCUGCUGAUGGCUGCUCCGGAUGCCUCCGUGGACAUCAAAGAGGCGGCAUCAAAGCUCCAGACCCACACACACCGAGUCAACACCGUCAUCGACGUCCUGCAGGGGAUCGGCCUCGUCCAGACGGACUCGGAUAACCGGGUCAGGUGGAUAGGAAGCAGUCCGAUCUUCAGCUUUCUGUGGAGGGACACGCUGAAGUUCCUGACGAUGCUGCAGAGGCUGAAGAUGAUUGAAGACGAGGUGGACAGACUCUUUAAAUCCUGCGCGCAGCAGCUCUUUGAGCUCACUGAGGAUGAGGAGAACUCUGCGCUGGCCUACGUCAGCUGCGAGGACAUCUGUCGCCUCAGAGACUUCCAGCAGCAGACGGUGAUUGCCCUCAGAUCUCCGCUGGAAACCAAGCUGGUCAUUCCUCCUCCUGAAGAGGACGGGAUUCAGAUGCAGCUGAAAUCAGAGAAUGGUCCCAUUUUGGCCCUGACCUGUAACGUAGGACCUUUGACCUCUGAGGCCUCAAACAGCAGCAGGGUCUUCUCAGCGCUGGAGCGUCGUGUCCGGCUGUACACAUUGAACGAAGGUACUUGGAGUGGGCUAAAACCCGAACAGAACGUUUCUCAGCCAGUUUCAUCAUUACUGUAUUAGGACAUUUUUUUCCCCAAGAUGAGGACCAGAUAAAAGGAAUGUGUGGAUUUAAAAUGUUAUUUUAUGAUUAACAGCUCAUUAGCAUCAUCACAUUUUAAAUCCCACAUGCUUCAUUUGAAGACCUCUGGAAUAUCUUUGGUAUCUCCUUAUUAUCUCUGCACCUAAAUAAAUUAGAAUAUCGUUGAAAAAUGCUAACAUUGAUUUAUUAUGCACAGUGAAAUAUUUCUGCCUUCAGCUCAUCCACGUUGUUGGUUCUGGUGUCUCUUAAUUUGCUCUUUACAUAUAUACUCUCUAGAGUUGAACCCGGCAUACCGGCUAGUUAAUCAGAUGGUCGUUAAUGGUAUUGGUAUUUUGGCAGUGGUGGCAGGUGCUAAGACCUGCUGCAAAAUUACCUAAAAUAUGACAUUUUUCCUUCAACUCAGUUUUCCAUCAGUAUACUUGGAUACAGCCUGCGGCGCCUGGGUCAAAGAAUCCCAGUUUUAUAAGAUGCUUCUUUCUAGUGUUGUCUCUGGUUCCACAUCCUCUCAAGGCCGUGGUCAUCCAUGCUACUUUCAUAUUCUUUUUUUUUUCUUCCUUCCACUCAACUUUCCACCCAUAUGCUUGGGUCAACUUUCAGGUAAGCAGGCUUCUCCAUGAUUAUGUAGCCCAUAACAUGGCUGAAAAUGAACAUUUCUGCAUUAAAAAUCCCUUCUUAUUGGACUCCUAAUCAUUUUAUAUUAGCUGUAAGCAAAGAUCCACGAAAUAAACAAAAAAAUCCAUAAAAUAUGUCAGUCUGUAAUAAGAAUAAAUAAUAAAUGGGUGAAAUAAGUAUAUUUUGCAAUGUUAUGUUGAUUUAAUAAGAUGCGCCUUUAUACAGUUUCAACUACAGCGAUCAACACACUACUGACUGUUCGUUCUUGCUCAUAAUUUUUUAUUCCUGUUAUUUUUCUUCUGUCCGACAUUCUACUUUAAAUCAUGAAGUGUAAAAAGAAAACUGGUCGGAUGUUCACGCUUUAUUCACCUGCCAACAGUGGAGAGCGAGAAGAUGCACAUCUAGGAAGAGGAAGAAUGAGGAUGAAGACCUUUGCUGCAGACUCGUGUGAUCAGGCUGAGGGGGACACCCAAUGAUAUCCCUAACUGAAGGAACUCUGAGCACAAGAGCAGGAAGAUGGAGGCGACCCGGACCGACGAGGUUGCUUAAAAAAUGAUGAAGGGACGGAGGUUGACGGAGGUUGACCGAGCACCAGGUCUGCAACUCUAUGGGGAGCAGAGAAAACGUUUGGAGGACUUUAUCCGCUUACUUAACUACAUAUGCAAACCUGGAUCGUAGUUUUUAUGUCUUUUCGUCGGGCAGAGCCGGAGGGUCUGGCAGCCAUUGCUUUUGGAAAAUAUAGGCCUGAAGGACCACAGCUUCUCACACCAAACUAAUUCAACUAUUAAGGGCUUCAUUCCUGUAGCUGUUUUCUUCAGUUAGACAGAAGAUAGAAACAGGACUCAGACUUUGACCUCCCAGAUGUUUUUAUCCUAACUAGAGAUGGUGACCGGCUGGUGACUGGAAUCAUUAGAUUUCUCCACAGUUCGGAGAGGUGAGCAGCUGGUCAGAAACCCAGGAGUCCGCUAUUUGUCCCAUUGGUGGACGCAACAGAUGAAGCAUCAGCAGGAGGCACCAACAGGUCACACUCUUCAGUGUGGACGCUGUUAAUGAGUGAGGACAAUCAAAAUAUUGCUGUUUAUUUUAGUAUCAGUUUGUGAGAAGCUGUUUAAAUGGAAACCGAAACAUGUCAGUAGUUUAUUCGGGCUGCGGGAUGGCCAGAGAGAGCAAGACUUUCAUCAGAUAACAGGAAGGGUGAACAUAUUACAGAAAACUUCCUCUGUUUUAUUCUUUUGACCUUUGAGGAACAUGCUGGUUUUGAAAGUGGUGGGAGCCUUUGUAGAGUUAAGAUAUCAAUCACACACACACACCCACACACACAGUCGAUGCUAAAGCCAGUUUAAAAGGUGAAUAUCCUCCACAAUCAUUUUAGCCAGAAACUGUGUUUUAGAGAGAGAUUGGACUCCUCCAGUAUCUGGAUCAGCAGGCCGAGACCCGACAGCUGUCUCUGAUCCGGACCUGUGUAACAUCUCUGUUAUGUUUUAUUUUCCAUCUUUUGCUUUAUAAAAACAGGAAGCAGGAGCAGAAAUACUAGGUCCGCUUGUUUCCGUUUCUCCUACCUGCUGCUUUUGCUCUUUCAUCUAGUUGAGUUUUGGGUUGAGAUUCUCAGAUAUCCGGAUGGGAUCUGCAGGAUAACCAGAAAUGCUCCUGCAGGAGAAACACUGAACUGAACUGAGCCUUUGUGCGAAAGAUCGGAUCUGAACAGUAAAAUGAUUCUUUUUGACCCACCAGAGCUGGAAAUAGAUUAGUGUUUUGAGCUUCUCUGUUUAUUUUCUGCCAUUUUGGUUCUAAAACUCACAAAAUACAUAGAAACCAAUAAAGGAUUUAACUGCA